rnacentral:rRNA from 1 species
UACGUAGGGUGCAAGCGUUGUCCGGAAUUAUUGGGCGUAAAGAGCUCGUAGGCGGUUUGUCGCGUCUGCUGUGAAAACCCGAGGCUCAACCUCGGGCCUGCAGUGGGUACGGGCAGACUAGAGUGCGGUAGGGGAGAUUGGAAUUCCUGGUGUAGCGGUGGAAUGCGCAGAUAUCAGGAGGAACACCAAUGGCGAAGGCAGAUCUCUGGGCCGGUACUGACGCUGAGACGCGAAAGCGUGGGGAGCGAACAGG